CAAAAUAUUUGCUCUUAAAACUACCGCAAUAAAUGACUUUUAACAAUAGUCUUGUCGCACUGAUGACUAUGUUUUCAAUUUUGCUAUUGUUUGAAAAUGACAUUUUUAUAGGAAAAAGUAAUUACGCGAAAUCAAUUAUUUUAGAUCAUUCAAAUUCAGUUCAGCCAUGUGUCAAAGUGUUAAUUAGGAAUAAUGAAUCAUCAUCAGGAAUUAAAAAAAUGACAAAUAACGUUCAUAAUAUGCUUGUAGAAACAGCAUGAGCUCUAUUACGCAUAUACCUUACUUGGUUGUAGACGCCUGUACACCCUGCACAAAUUUUGAAUCCAAACUUGAUGUCUCAUUUUAUAGGGACAGUCGCACUUCGUCAUACACAGGCACAUCAACAAGGGGAAUUCCCGAGGUUUACUUAGAC